GGCUCCUUCCAGAACAUUAACCUUACUCCAUUAGAUGCUGACUGCACGGAUGCAUAAAAACAGCAUUUUGUUUUUACUUUAUAUUUUUCUGUUGGCAAUCCAAGUGGCAAUAAUAUUACAAUUUAACUAGUCUAUACUUGUACUUUAUCAAGUGACAACAUUGCAUCAGCUAUGUGCAUGUUUCACAAUUAUAUGAAGAAACACUGUGGUUUACUUAACAGGACAAAUAAUCCAGAAAGCAUACCCAAAGAUUACCUUUUGCAUCUACCACCAUAGAUACUUCCAGCAAUUGGGCUUCCACCUUCCUCCACCUGAAACUUCUCUUUAUCUCAGUUUUAAGUGUCUUAUCCCAGUUCCUCGGCAUUUUCUCAUUUUACUUGUAUUGAGUGCUGGCUAUGGACCAAGAGAUGUGACUCAUGGACCAGUGGUGCUAGGACAUAAGCCAAGGCCUGAUCGACGCUGGCUGAGAGCGUCUGAUGUUGAAACACCUGAUGACCCCAAGUUACAUCACUGGUGACGUGUCCUAGCAUGUAUCUCAGCAUUAAAGGAAAACAAAUUAACCCGGAGGGGAGAAAAAACUUCAGAAGUCCCAGAUAAGUUGAAAUGAAAACCAGUUCCAUGGGGAACCAAUGCUAAAAUUCAAUGAAGCAAACAAGCACAGGCCAAGUACCCCCUCAUCCAAAUUGCUUGGGGCCAGAAGUGUUUCGGAUUUCAGAUUCUGGGAUAGCUUGGGAUCGCCAUCAUUUCCGACUGAAUUAACGUGCUACUGUGCUGAUGAUUAAGGAAUAAUAUUGACCAAAACACUUGGGAGAACUUCCUUGUUUUUCUAAAACAGGGCCUGUGUCAAUCCAGGAUCAUGGAUAUGGUCUGUUUAUAGAGGCGGAUUGCUUGUUGUGAAAUGGAGAAGCAUCCAGCUGGUGCCUCAACGACAACGUUAAACAAUGCCCUUUAACCAAGGAAAUUUUUGCUGCACGGAACUCAUAAGAAGUAGUUUGCCAUCGCUGCCUCUGGGCAGUGUCUUUACAAGACGGGUGACCCCAGCCAUUAUCAAUACCCUUCAGAGAAUGUCUGCCUGGCGUCAGUGGUAGCAUAACCAUGACUUGUGAUACGACCAUCCACCACCUGCUCCUACGGCUUCAUGUGACCCUCAUCGGGGGGCUAAGCAGGUGCUACACCUUGCCCAAGAGUGACCUGCAGGCAAGCGGAGGGAAGGAGCGACUUACACCUUUGUUGGCAGCGAUGCACCUCCACCACAAGAACAUUAAUCAAAAUAAACUGACCGUCCAAAAAAAGAGGUCUCAGGAGUUAAUAGAUGUUCAGUUAAGCAGUUGGGCUUACAGGCCUCAGGUAGAACUAUAAGCAAAUUCUAGAGUUUAGGGUUUUGCCAAACUAAGGCAAACUGCCUACGUGGAUAUCUUUGCUGGAAAGGAUUAUUGCUGCUUGUUUUUCCAUCAAGGGAGAAGGAAGAUGUGUUAUUAUGUGUGCAUAAUAAAGAACUUCAGUUCCCAGUGGACGAUGUGAGGAGUUCACCUGGAAUUGGAAGCUACAAUGGUGACCUGGUUGCACAGGCAAGAGUUAAGCAGCAGUUCAGUAAUAAAAUGCUCUAAGGUAAACCCACACCAUGUUUGUCUUUAUAAAGAAAAAAACACAUGUUCGAAAGACGUGAUGUAUAUGCAGUGAUCUGAAUUGAGAGGAAUUCACAGAAGGUUCAACAGAGGGUAUUGCAAGUUACAUAUGGGGCAUGAGAAAGCCUGAAAGAGAAUAACUCUCAGGGUUUGGAUACUGGGAAGCAGUGCUGUUCAAAGAAUAUGGGGUGGACGGGUGUCCAGGACAGAACUGGUUUGGCUGAGUUUGUCUAUGAAAGCUGUUGGUUGGGAAGCCAUUCAAGAUUGCAUCAAGAGUCAGUGGAAUGUGAGCUUCAAUAACAGAUGGGUUGAGGUUGGACAUGGAAUGACGCGCUGAUAAAAGGUGGCAGACUUCCUGAUGCACAAUUAGGAAGACAACUCAUGUGCAAAAUAAAUGCUAAGCCUUGCUGGCCCAGACAAACUGUGGAGAGGACGUUUCUUAUAGUGGGGGGAGUCCAGGACAGGAGGGUAAGCUUCAGAAUACGAGGACCUCCCCUUUAGAACAAAGAUGAGGAAGAAUUUUUUUAGCCAGGGGGUUGUAAAUCUGUGGAGGUAAAGACAUUGAGUA